AGAGGAGCUGGACAAGUACUGGUCUCAGCAGAUUGAGGAGAGCACCACAGUGGUCACCACACAGUCUACCGAGGUUGGAGCUGCUAAGACGAC
ensembl:miRNA